GAGAGACUUCAGUCUGUCUCUUGGCGGGGACGUGUUAGGACUCCUGCUUCCGCACCCCUCGCAGUCCACAGACUCAUUCUUGUUUACUUUUUUAAUGACUAAGUUUUGAUUACCAGGUAACGUAGGAGUACGUGCAUAAUAAUAACUAAGUGAAGUAUUGCUCUAUAUUAUAAAAAUUACUUAAUGCGUGCGCCUGAGGUAAAAUAAAGUCGUGAAUAUAUUGAUAAUACUUUAGUUAAUGUCGGUUUGUUUACAUGCGUGAUUUUUUAUAAACUACACGCGAAGGUCUGUGUUUACAUUAGCUACCGAUUCGUCGUCAGGUUAAAUAUCAAGGUUUCUGAGACACCAAAGGACAAGACUCUUGGACAUCGCUGUGUUCUGUGUUCAAGUGGACCGCUCAUCUCCUCCACAGGUGGUUUAUAAGGCCAGGUCGUGAAUCCGCUAGUUUUGUACUUCGUGUUUUAUUGGGAACCCUUGAUGUCACGGCUGUAAAUCUGUUAUAUCGUCCGCUUUCUUUUUGGAAACUGAUGCGGACUUCGUGCUUGACAAACGAGGGACAAGUUUUCAGCCGGCUCUUCGGGCGUACUGACCUCCUAAGUUAUUGCAUCAACGUAUAAGUCCAAGGUCAGUCGAGAAAACCAAAGGCCCUUCAGCAUGUACAGCAGCGGAAGCAGCAGCAACAGCAGCAGCAGCAAGAACGACUCGAACAACAACAUGAACAGCCCGAAGUACCUGGUCAAGCCCCCAGCCAGCGUCCGUCAACAGCAGCCCCU